UAGAAAUAACAGGGGAGCUAAUAGGCUGAGAGGAAGUUUGACUUCGACCCUUUACUUGAUACGGAUAAUGCCGGCGUAAGGAGUCUUUUUAUUUUUGCU
rfam:Anaerococcus lactolyticus ATCC 51172 genomic scaffold SCAFFOLD13, whole genome shotgun sequence.